UUAACAAUAGCUAAUAGAAGAAGAGAUAAGGCAUAUUCAAGUAGUUGUUGUUUCUUCUUCUAAAGAAUGCCUUUUGAGGAUUUCCACCGUCUCAACCUCCGCACUGCAAAUUCAGCCCCGAAAAAAAGUAGGGUCUAAGAAUCUUGUACUUCCCGAUUUUGGUGAGGUCCACAACCGUUGAGCCUGCUCUACCCGAAGGCAGCACACCGCCAUCAUAAACGAAGGCACAAUGUUCCCAAAGAUUCUCAAAAUCUUUGAUGCUAACACUACUUGGCUGCCCGCUUGGAUUUGCACUUGUAAGAGCCAACGCACUCCCCAAUCCACGAGCAACGAUCCUGAUGAAGUCAUAGUCUGGCACUCGAACUCCUAUACUGUCUAAUCCCGGAUUUAAAGACUUCUCGAGUAUGCUCGACUCACCUGAAAAUAUUAGAGGGAACACAUAAUUGUUUCAAACCAAAAUGACUCAGGUGUGGACACAACUCUUCUACAUAAGAUCAAAGGUGCAAUAAGCCAACAUAUUAACUCAAAGUCAGUGGUCAACUAGUCCAGAGACUAUAGCUCAGUCGAACUUCUAAUCAAAAAUAGAGCACUAGCCCAAACGAAUCCUAUUUCAACUAUCAUUCGGAUUGUUACAACCUCUAGCAGACAGUAUAAAAUUGAUUCUAAAAGAACUAACAUUGGCUCUAGCGUCCAAUGGGUGCACCUGAUCCAAUUCAGUUGGAACAGUCACCUGCUUUCAUUGGUGGAGAGCUCAAUCCCUUGCUUUGUUCUAUAGCUUAGCCUUCUUCAAAAAGGCUUGGUAAAAAGUACUAUGGAUUUUUUUUUUCUCAUGAGAUACAUUAUGGAAACUUGAACUUUUAACCCUACAUUCUCAAGUGAAACUAAGAAAGUUUCUAUUUUGCAGAUAUCUUAGUCCUAAAAGAUACAAACCCUUGACUUCUUUUUCGGAAAAAGAUUAUCAAGAACAAACCUCGCUUUAGUACAACAGUGACAGGUCCCGGAAGGAGAGAUUCAAGUAAGCCAUCAGGCAAAUGCUCGGUGUCGGCAAAGCGUUUGAUUUCUAACACAUCCCCAACACAUAUUGCAAGAGGACUAGUGUGUUUACGCCCUUUAAUCUCAUAAAUCCUAUUUACUGCUUCCGAAGAACUGCAUUAACAUUUAGGUUCCCAUGUGAAAAUUGAUUGCUAAACUUACAAAGCUAAGCAUAAUUCAUCAAACAUUUUGAUCAGCAACCAGAAAAAAAAAAACAAAGCACUUGUUUUCUGAAUACUGUUAAUAUGAAUGAACUUUUCUUCAAGACAAAA